rnacentral:misc_RNA from 1 species
AUGGCGACGUUAACGCUGCUCGCGAGAUUUGUGUCAUUUCGUUUUGCACACGCCAAAUUGCUCGAGUUACCAGGGUCCAGGUGUAACGCGUUCCCUUAUGGUCGAACUAUGAUGGCCUGCAUGUGCACGGAUCCAAAAUUUAUGUAUGAUUUACUUGUGAUUGGCGGUGGUUCUGGUGGUUUAGCUGCAGCAAAAGAGGCAGUGAAUCUAGGUGCAAAAGUUGCAGUUCUUGAUUUUGUGACACCGUCUCCACAAGGUACAACAUGGGGUUUGGGUGGCACUUGCGUGAACGUUGGUUGUAUCCCAAAGAAAUUGAUGCAUCAAGCUGCUCUACUCGGAGAAGCUGUUCAUGAAUCAACUUUCUAUGGUUGGCAACUGCCAGAUCCACAAACUAUUAAACAUGACUGGGCAGCAUUGAAAACUGCAGUACAGAAUCAUAUAAAGUCUGUGAAUUGGGUCACACGUGUUGAUCUUAGAACACAAAAAGUUGAAUACGUCAAUGCACAAGGAUAUUUUAAGGAUCAACAUACAGUAUGCGGAAAGAUGAAGAAUGGGCAGGAAAAAGAAUUUACAGCAAAAAAUAUUUUAAUCGCUGUGGGUGGUAGACCAAGAUACCCUGAUAUUCCUGGUGCUGUAGAAUAUGGUAUAACCAGUGAUGACAUUUUUAGUUUAGAGAAAGCUCCAGGAAGAACGCUUGUUGUUGGUGCAGGAUACAUUGGUUUAGAGUGUGCUGGAUUCUUGAAAGGUUUAGGGUACGAUGUGACAAUAAUGGUACGUUCUAUCGUCUUAAGAGGAUUUGAUCAGCAAAUGGCAAAUAUUGUUGCUGACGAAAUGCAAAGACGCGGUGUGAACUUUGUUUACAAGGCAAAACCUGCGAAAAUUGAGAAACAACCUGAUGGUAGCCUUCACGUACACUGGGUGGAUGAGCACGGCAAAAUACAUGAAGAUGUUUAUGAUACUGUUCUUUUUGCUAUUGGUCGUAAAGCACUUACGGAGGAAUUGAAACCCGAGAACAUCAAUCUCAAACUUGUUGCUGAAACUGGAAAGAUUGAUGCAGUGGAUGAACAGACGAAUAUUCCAAAUGUAUACGCUGUCGGUGAUGUCCUUCACAAAAAACCGGAGUUAACACCUGUUGCUAUUCAUGCUGGCCGACUAUUAGCAAGAAGAUUAUUUGGAAAUUCAACGCAACAAAUGGAUUACAUUAAUGUAGCGACAACAGUAUUUAGCCCCAUGGAAUAUGGUUGUGUCGGUCUCAGUGAAGAGGCAGCGAUUGCAAUUCAUGGAGAGGAAAAGAUAGAAAUUUACCACAUGUACUAUAAACCAACGGAGUUCUUUAUACCACAGAAGGAUGUUUCUAGUUGUUACUUGAAAGUUGUCGCUUUUAGAGGCGGUGACGAAAGAGUACUUGGUAUGCACUUUGUUGGGCCACAUGCUGGUGAAAUUAUCCAAGGCUUCUCUGCUGCUAUGAAAUGUAAUUUAACAUUCCCAAAACUAAAGGAAACAGUUGGUAUACACCCAACGGUCGCGGAAGAAUUUACUCGUGUAAAUAUUAGUAAACGUUCGGGACUUGAUCCGAAGCCACAGAGCUGUUGCAGUUAAAGCACAUGUAUAAUGUAGACUUUUGGCUGAUUGUGAAUAUUUUUAAGUACUGUCAACAGUAAACGUACUAUGUGCUUGUGCACACUAAUCAUUCGCCUCGAAAGUAAUUCACCGAAGGAGGCUCUAAACCGAAAAUAUUUUGUUAUUAAGUCCAAAUAAGAGAAUUUUUUAGAAUACUGCAGUAUUUUCAAAAAAAACAUUGUAGAGCAAUUGCGACGCAUUAUGUCGUACAAGAUGUUUGCUUCUUUUGAAGCAUGUAUUAUUGACUGAUCUGCGAUGUUGUACUUAGUAACUUUUAUAAAUAUAAUUUUUCACAGUAACAAGAUAAUCCUGAUGUAUACAUUCGAACACAAAAUAAAUACCGCUUAAAUUAUGGGUGGAGGCGUAGA